rnacentral:rRNA from 1 species
GUUGGAAUCGCUAGUAAUCGCGGAUCAGCAUGCCGCGGUGAAUACGUUCCCGGGCCUUGUACACACCGCCCGUCACACCAUGAGAGUCGGGAACACCCGAAGUCCGUAGCCUAACCGCAAGGGGGGCGCGGCCGAAGGUGGGUUCGAUAAUUGGGGUGAAGUCGUAACAAGGUAAC